UUGUGGAGGAGGACGCCGAAGGUGGGGCUAAUGACUGGGGUGAAGUCGUAACAAGGUAGCCGUACCGGAAGGUGCGGCUGGAUCACCUCCUAACAGGGAGACAACAAAAUGUUUAAUAUUAUUAUUUUGUCACCUUAGGUCGAUCGGUAUCUCACGUUUUUAAUUUAUUAAAAAUUUCAUUUCCUAAGUUUUUCUAGGUCACACCCAUUAUUUUUCCUGGGCCAUUAGCUCAGGUGGUUAGAGCGCACCCCUGAUAAGGGUGAGGUCCCUGGUUCAAGUCCAGGAUGGCCCAUAUCUCUAUGUUGGGGGUAUAGCUCAGUUGGUAGAGCGCCUGCUUUGCAAGCAGGAUGUCAGCGGUUCGAGUCCGCUUACCUCCACUGAUUACCACCUCUUCCAUAACAAGUAGAAAGGAAAAGUUUUGAGUAGUGAUCAAUUUCUGAAAGAAUCUAGCUUCCUAAUGAAAUCAUUAAGAUGCUGGACUCAUUGAAUUAAUUUCAUUGUUUUCAGAGAACCUUGACAACUGCAUAGAUUAUUUUUAAAGACAAUAAGCAUCUUUAAUGAUGCAGAUUUAUUAUUGGUGCAAAUGCAUUAAUAACAAUUCUAUUAAGCUGAUGCUUCAAUUUUGAAGUUAUUGGUCAAGCUACAA
rnacentral:misc_RNA from 1 species